rnacentral:snRNA from 1 species
AUGCUCCUUUUGGCAGCACAUAUACUAAAACUGGAACAAUACAGAGAAGAUUAGCAUGGCCCCUGUGCAAGGGUGACAUGCAAAUUCGUGAAGUGUUCCAUAUUUUU